rnacentral:lncRNA from 13 species
AUGUGGCUCGAUGACUUAAAGAGGAGGAGGAAUUAUUGGGCGACACUUUUAAUUACCAACGUAACCUCAGUGGAACUGUGGCUUCAUCGAGUUCCAGCUCUAGGCAGACAGCACGUCAGGAAGACUGUAAGACAUCACAGAGACAGAUGCUUGGCUUUUUCUUUGUCUUGGAGAUUGGCUCUGAUGUUUCAGCCUCUUCUGGAGCUUCUAGCUGCUGGCUGUCUGGCCCCCCCUGAUGGUUCUCUGGCCCCUCCUGCUGGUUCUCUGAACUCCCCUCCUGGUUCUCUGCCCAUGCCUGUUGCCUCCUUGGCCUUUCCUGGUGGCCAUCAGCAGAUCCAGUGGGCUCUUGGCUUACUUGUUGGCCUGUGGCCCAGCAGGGCAACUCCUGACCGUGGUUGUAAUCGUGGCUGUGUUGGGUGGUUAGACACCGGGUGUUGAUUUGAGCAUCAGCCUCCAGAUUCAUCUGCUCCAGGAGGGGGUAAGAAGACAGUCCCAGUAGGAGACGGAGAUCGUCCAGAAGAAGAAGAGGUGUCCAUCUCCUCAGAGACUGCAGGAAAGGUCUACACGUUUUAUUUCUGGAAAAUAAAGAGAUGCCUUCGUUCAGCAACAAUGUGUGUUUCUAUGUUUCUGUCACUAGAUGGUGCCAUUGUACACAACAUUUACUCACCAGGUCAGUGAAUUCAGAAACAGUCUUCAGAGUUGAGUCCUCAAGCUCUAGCCUACAACCCAUCAUGCAUCAGCACAACUAAUAUAAUAAUAUCUCAUCACAGUACACCUGGAUUGUGUUCACAAAGUGUUUCAGGGUAGGAGUGCUGAUCUAGGAUCAGGUCGCCUCCUGUCCAUCAAAAUGUAUUCAGUUUAAUUUAAAAGACCAAACUGAUUAUUGAUCAGCACUCCUUCUAUGAGACUUUGUGAAUAUGAGCCUUUGUGAAAGAACCUUUCUGGCAUAUGGUGGCUAGACAGUACACAGACAAUUCAGAUAGUCCGACAGACAGAAAGAAGAGUAGAUACAGAUGGAGUGAUUGAUAGCAACAGAAAUAACGAAGCGGAUGGUUAAUGUAUUGUAAACUUUUGUAAAUAUUUGACUCACCUCAAAUCACACGUGUCAAACCUCAGUUUUAGUGUUGAACCGAAUAAUAUCCUCGGCAUUAACUUUCUCUGGUCUGGAGCUGUAUUGUUGCGUCAUUUGGAACGCUUGAGCGUCAUAAUCCGUUCACCGCGCCUGCUUGAUUGACAGCUAGGGGUUCUCCUGCGCACCAGUGUCCAAAAGUCGAUAAUGUUUAGCUACUCAUAAUUGAUAAAGUCAUUUAUAACUAUUUUCACUUGACUUUUAUUUCGUGUAUUUUUGCCUAAGGUUGUUUUGAAUUCUAUGUUGUGUGAUUUGUCUUUGUAUGGGCCUAAAGUUCAAUGAAAUACAAACAGCAACCAUAGCCUACAAACAUUUCCCACACAAAUACAAAUGUGGGUGUUUAGUGAGAACACAAAAUAAUAACAUU